CGGCCCAGACUCCUACGGGAGGCAGCAGUGGGAAUAUUGCACAAUGGGCGGAAGCCUGAUGCAGCAACGCCGCGUGCGGGAUGACGGCCUUCGGGUUGUAAACCGCUUUCGCCUGUGACGAAGCGUGAGUGACGGUAAUGGGUAAAGAAGCACCGGCUAACUACGUGCCAGCAGCCGCGGUAAUACGUAGGGUGCGAGCGUUAAUCGGAAUUACUGGGCGUAAAGCGUGCGCAGGCGGUUAUGCAAGACAGAGGUGAAAUCCCCGGGCUCAACCUGGGAACU
rnacentral:rRNA from 1 species